GGACCUGACUGCUAUCGGAUUGAUACUAAGCCAUGCGAGUCUUUGUAGUAAUACAAGGCAUACGGCUCAGUAACGCGUAGUCAACCUACCCUAUGGACAAGAAUAAUCUCGGGAAACUGAGCAUAAUUCUUGAUAGAUCAUAAUGCCUGGAAUGGUUUAUGGUUAAAAUGAUUUCGUCGGCCAUAGAUGGGACUGCGGCCUAUCAGCUUGUUGGUGAGGUAAUGGCCCACCAAGGCGAUUACAGGUACGGGCUCUGAGAGGAGAAGCCCGGAGAUGGGUACUGAGACAGGACCCAGGCCCUAUGGGGCGCAGCAGGCGAGAAAACUUUGCAAUGCGCGAAAGCACGACAAGGUUAGUCCGAGUGAUUUCUGCUAAGAGAUCUUUUGCUAGUUAUAAAACCACUAGCGAAUAAGGGGUGGGCAAGUCUGGUGUCAGCCGCCGCGGUAAAACCAGCACCUCAAGUGGUCAGGAUGAUUAUUGGGCCUAAAGCAUCCGUAGCCGGCNCUGUAAGUUUNCGGUUAAAUCUAUACCUCAACGUAUGGGCUGCCGAAAAUACUGUAGAGAUAGGGAGUGGGAGAGGUAGACGGUACUCGGUAGGAAGUGGUAAAAUNCUUUGAUCUAUCGAUGACCACCUGUGNCGAAGGCGGUCUACCAGAACACGUUCGACGGUGAAGGAUGAAAGCUGUGAUGCAUUGGCAUAUAGCCAGUGCAGUGUCGCAGGGAAGCCGUUAAGUCUGCCGCCUGGGAAGUACGUACGCAAGUAUGAAACUUAAAGGAAUUGGCGGGGGAGCACCACAAGGGGUGAAGCUGCGGUUCAAUUGGAGUCAACGCCAGAAAUCUUACCCGGAGAGACAGCAGAAUGAAGGUCAAGCUGAAGACCUUACCAGACAAGCUGAGAGGUGGUGCAUGGCCGUCGCCAGCUCGUGCCGUGAGAUGUGGGGCUACGGCAGGUCAGUAUGCCCCGAAACUCUGGGGCCACACGCGGGCUGCAAUGGUAGCGACAAUGAGUUCCAAACUCGAAAGAGAGUGGCAAUCCCUAAACGCUACCACAGUUAUGACUGAGGGCUGUAACUCGCCCUCACGAAUAUGGAAUCCCUAGUAACCGCGUGUCAUUACCGCGCGGUGAAUACGUCCCUGCUCCUUGCACACACCGCCCGUCGUUUCAUCGAAGUUUGCUUUUAGCGAGGUGAUGUUUAAUUGGCAUUAUCGAACUUGAGGUAAGCGACGAGGGAAAAGUCGUAACAAGGUUCCCGU
rnacentral:rRNA from 1 species